rnacentral:rRNA from 1 species
AUUGAACGCUGGCGGCAGGCCUAACACAUGCAAGUCGAGCGGAUGAAGGGAGCUUGCUCCUGGAUUCAGCGGCGGACGGGUGAGUAAUACCUAGGAAUCUGCCUGGUAGUGGGGGAUAAGUCCGGAAACGGGCGCUAAUACCGCUUACGUCCUGAGGCAGAAAGUGGGGGAUCUUCGGACCUCACGCUAUCAGUUGAGCCUAGGUCGGAUUAGCUAGUUGGUGGGGUAAAGGCCUACCAAGGCGACGAUCCGUAACUGGUCUGAGAGGAUGAUCAGUCACACUGGAACUGAGACACGGUCCAGACUCCUACGGGAGGCAGCAGUGGGGAAUAUUGGACAAUGGGCGAAAGCCUGAUCCAGCCAUGCCGCGUGUGUGAAGAAGGUCUUCGGAUUGUAAAGCACUUUAAGUUGGGAGGAAGGGCAGUAAGUUAAUACCUUGCUGUUUUGACGUUACCAACAGAAUAAGCACCGGCUAACUUCGUG